GGCCCUUCCUCUAGCUCAAUUACCCUUUAACAUAAACCAAACAAUCUACUAUAACACCUAACCAAAACAUUUUUUACACCUAGUAUAGGCGAUAGAAAAGCUACUUGACGCAAUAGAGACAUUUUUCGUACCGUAAGGGAAAGAUGAAAUAACAAUGAAAUACAUAAAAGCAAAAAAUAGCAAAGAUCAACCCUU
rnacentral:rRNA from 1 species